rnacentral:rRNA from 1 species
GGAGAGUGCAAGCGUUAAUCGGAAUUACUGGGCGUAAAGCGCGCGUAGGUGGGCGCUUAAGUCGGAUGUGAAAGCCCUGGGCUUAACCCAGGAACUGCAUUCGAUACUGGGCACCUAGAGUAUAGUAGAGGGAAGUGGAAUUUCCGGUGUAGCGGUGGAAUGCGUAGAUAUCGGAAGGAACACCAGUGGCGAAGGCGGCUUCCUGGACUAAUACUGACACUGAGGUGCGAAAGCGUGGGGAGCAAACAGGGAUUAGAGACCCUGGUAGUCCACGCUGUCAACGAUGAGAACUAGAUGUCGGGGAGUAUAUCUCUUUAGUAUCGAAGCUAACGCGUUAAGUUCUCCGCCUGGGAGUACGGCCGCAAGGUUA